rnacentral:rRNA from 1 species
UACGAAGGGGGCUAGCGUUGUUCGGAAUCACUGGGCGUAAAGCGCGCGUAGGCGGUUGUGUCAGUCAGGGGUGAAAUCCCGGAGCUCAACUUCGGAACUGCCUUUGAUACAGCACGUCUUGAGUCCGAUAGAGGUGGGUGGAAUUCCUAGUGUAGAGGUGAAAUUCGUAGAUAUUAGGAAGAACACCGGUGGCGAAGGCGGCCCACUGGAUCGGUACUGACGCUGAGGUGCGAAAGCGUGGGGAGCAAACAGG